UUCAAUCUUCAUACCUGCCAUCAGUCCCGAGUGAAAUGCUGCUGCUGCUGCUGCUGCUGGAAUAGGUGUGUCAGACAACAGGAUCAUGGAUUUGAACAGUGAAAUCAACCCAAAGCAAGCGGUUGUUUAUGAGAGGGAGCAAAGCUGUUGUGGCCGCAGAAGAGCAAAGAUGCUGCCCAACGUCAUGCCUCAGGGACGGAGGUGAACGAGAAGGUUAUCGACCUGACCACGGGAACAAAACCCCCGCCAGUGAAAGACAUCGAGGACAAAACUCCCAGUUGAAGUUGCUGGGAAAUGUGCCACUAAGGUGACCCUGCUUGAGGAGGAAGGUUGGACCAGAUAUCCUCCAGAGGUCCCUUCCAACAUCAGCCAUUCUGUGACUCUCUGAUUUUUAUGCCAGCAAUGAUUCCCGAAUUUACGGAGCUGAAUGUAAAGCCCAGUCAAUGAGAGACCUCACCUUUGGGAACUUGCUCUUUCCUCUCCUGUGAGAGGCCUGGCCCGUGCUGUAAGACUUUCCUGUUGCACAAGCAUCUUCCAGGAGGGAUCUGGAGGAUGCUCUGAGGGAGGAUGAUAACGGUGACAUACACCUAGUGCAGGAAAGCAUGGGCCCUUAGAGCAGCGUGGUAAUGCACUUGGGUCACAACAGCCCCAUGCAACGCUACGGGCUCGGGAAAGAGUGGCUGGGAAGCUGCCUGGCAGAAAAGGACCUGGGGUAUUGUCUGACAGCUGGCUGAAUAUGAGCCGGCAGUGUGCUCGGGUGGCCAAGGAGGCCAAUGGCAUCCUGGCUUGUGUGUUGAAAUAGUGUGGCCAGUGGGACUAGGGAAAUGAUCGUCCCCCUGUUCUCAGCACAGCUCCUCAAAUACUGUGUUCAGUUUUGGGCCUCUCACUACAAGAAAAACAUUGAGGUGCUGGAGCGUGUCUAAAGAAGGGCAACGAAGCUGAUGAAGGGUCUGGAGAGCAAAUAUUAUGAGAAGUGGCUGAAGGAACUGGGGUUGUUUAGUCUGGAGAAACGGAGACUGAGGGGAGACCUUAUAGCUCUCUACAACUACCUGAAGGGAGGUGGGGGUCAGCCUCUUUCCUGAAGUAACAAGUCAUAGGACAAGAGGAAAUGGCCUCAAGAUGUGCCAGGGGAGGUAUUAGGAAAAAUUUCUUCCC